UGCACGCUCCUUAGAUCCAUCUCUGAUAUAUCUAGGAGAUGCUUGAGUCAUUGGCGUGCAAUAAUACUUCAAUACCUUCUUUUUGGUCUCUUGUGGUAAUAUCUAUUAUGUUACUCGCAUUAACCAACGAGAGGACAAA
rnacentral:snoRNA from 1 species